rnacentral:tRNA from 1 species
GGACGCGUGCCUGAACACUUAAGGACUACUUUGAUAGAGUACACUACAGGGGUUAAAAUCCCCUCGCCUCC